GACGAACGCUGGCGGCGUGCUUAACACAUGCAAGUCGAACGGAAAGGCCUGCAGCUUGCUGGGGUACACGAGUGGCGAACGGGUGAGUAACACGUGGGUGACCUGCCCUGCACUUCGGGAUAAGCCUGGGAAACUGGGUCUAAUACCGGAUAGGACCGCACCGUGAGGGUGUGGUGGAAAGUUUUUUCGGUGUGGGAUGGGCCCGCGGCCUAUCAGCUUGUUGGUGGGGUAAUGGCCUACCAAGGCGGCGACGGGUAGCCGGCCUGAGAGGGUGGACGGCCACAUUGGGACUGAGACACGGCCCAGACUCCUACGGGAGGCAGCAGUGGGGAAUAUUGCACAAUGGGCGGAAGCCUGAUGCAGCGACGCCGCGUGGGGGAUGACGGCCUUCGGGUUGUAAACUCCUUUCACCAUCGACGAAGGGUUUCUGACGGUAGAUGGAGAAGAAGCACCGGCUAACUACGUGCCAGCAGCCGCGGUAAUACGUAGGGUGCGAGCGUUGUCCGGAAUUACUGGGCGUAAAGAGCUCGUAGGUGGUUUGUCGCGUCGUCUGUGAAAUUCCGGGGCUUAACUCCGGGCGUGCAGGCGAUACGGGCAUAACUUGAGUACUGUAGGGGAGACUGGAAUUCCUGGUGUAGCGGUGAAAUGCGCAGAUAUCAGGAGGAACACCGGUGGCGAAGGCGGGUCUCUGGGCAGUAACUGACGCUGAGGAGCGAAAGCAUGGGGAGCGAACAGGAUUAGAUACCCUGGUAGUCCAUGCCGUAAACGGUGGGCGCUAGGUGUGGGUUUCCUUCCACGGGAUCCGUGCCGUAGCUAACGCAUUAAGCGCCCCGCCUGGGGAGUACGGCCGCAAGGCUAAAACUCAAAGGAAUUGACGGGGGCCCGCACAAGCGGCGGAGCAUGUGGAUUAAUUCGAUGCAACGCGAAGAACCUUACCUGGGCUUGACAUAUACAGGAUCGCGCCAGAGAUGGUGUUUCCCUUGUGGCUUGUAUACAGGUGGUGCAUGGUUGUCGUCAGCUCGUGUCGUGAGAUGUUGGGUUAAGUCCCGCAACGAGCGCAACCCUUGUCUUAUGUUGCCAGCACGUUGUGGUGGGGACUCGUAAGAAACUGCCGGGGUUAACUCGGAGGAAGGUGGGGAUGACGUCAAAUCAUCAUGCCCCUUAUGUCCAGGGCUUCACACAUGCUACAAUGGUCGGUACAGUGGGUUGCCAGUCCGUGAGGGCGAGCUAAUCCCGCAAAGCCGGUCUCAGUUCGGAUCGGGGUCUGCAACUCGACCCCGUGAAGUCGGAGUCGCUAGUAAUCGCAGAUCAGCAACGCUGCGGUGAAUACGUUCCCGGGCCU
rnacentral:rRNA from 1 species